rnacentral:rRNA from 1 species
CGAACGCUGGCGGCGUGCUUAAACAUGCAAGUCGAACGGAAAGGCCCUUCGGGGUACUCGAGUGGCGAACGGGUGAGUAACACGUGGGUGAUCUGCCCUGCACUUUGGGAUAAGCCUGGGAAACUGGGUCUAAUACCGAAUAUGAUCAUGGCCUGCAUGGGUUGUGGUGGAAAGCUUUUGCGGUGUGGGAUGGGCCCGCGGCCUAUCAGCUUGUUGGUGGGGUAAUGGCCUACCAAGGCGACGACGGGUAGCCGGCCUGAGAGGGUGACCGGCCACACUGGGACUGAGAUACGGCCCAGACUCCUACGGGAGGCAGCAGUGGGGAAUAUUGCACAAUGGGCGCAAGCCUGAUGCAGCGACGCCGCGUGAGGGAUGACGGCCUUCGGGUUGUAAACCUCUUUCAGUAGGGACGAAGCGCAAGUGACGGUACCUAUAGAAGAAGGACCGGCCAACUACGUGCCAGCAGCCGCGGUAAUACGUAGGGUCCGAGCGUUGUCCGGAAUUACUGGGCGUAAAGAGCUCGUAGGUGGUUUGUCGCGUUGUUCGUGAAAACUCACAGCUCAACUGUGGGCGUGCGGGCGAUACGGGCAGACUUGAGUACUGCAGGGGAGACUGGAAUUCCUGGUGUAGCGGUGGAAUGCGCAGAUAUCAGGAGGAACACCGGUGGCGAAGGCGGGUCUCUGGGCAGUAACUGACGCUGAGGAGCGAAAGCGUGGGGAGCGAACAGGAUUAGAUACCCUGGUAGUCCACGCCGUAAACGGUGGGUACUAGGUGUGGGUUUCCUUCCUUGGGAUCCGUGCCGUAGCUAACGCAUUAAGUACCCCGCCUGGGGAGUACGGCCGCAAGGCUAAAACUCAAAGAAAUUGACGGGGGCCCGCACAAGCGGCGGAGCAUGUGGAUUAAUUCGAUGCAACGCGAAGAAC